AGGGGGCACACGGAGUUGAACCAUGGACCUAUCGAUCUGCCAUAGAUUGCUCUACCACUGAGCUAUACCCCC
rnacentral:tRNA from 1 species